UAUCCAAAAUGUUUCGGUUUGAUCGGAUUCAGAUUUGGUUCAUCAAAUACCAAAAUUUUAAAUCAAUUCGGAUAUCUUACUAAUUUCGGCUCGGGUUCAAUAUAACUUUUUUGAGUCUGAUUCAGUUUAGUUUUUCAGGUUGGAAUAUGUUGCUUAGUCCUAUCUAUUUUUUUUUUUAAUUUUGGUCAGCUAGAUACUAGUUUUUUGUUUGCGCAACGCCUGGAUUAUGGUUGAAUUUUUUUUUUGCCAAAUUUUGCAUUUCUUUUGAAAGCUUUCUUUAUAACUACACUAGUGGUCUUCCGGCGCUACGCGCCGGGUUCGUAUGUGUUAUUCUUUAUUGAUCGGAUUUAUAUUGACUAUUUUUCCAAGACAGCUUAUUCAAAUAUUAUUUUUCCUCUUCAAAUUUUUUUCUGCACAACAUUAAUAUAUCAUAAAGAUAUGUACCGUUGUCAUAGUUCUCAUCUGCGGAUUGGCAAAGAUGGUUGAGUCAUUUGAUAGAUUUGUAGUGGAAAUGUACUGAUAUAACCCCCUCAAUGUAAUGAACCUCCGGAUUGUCGUUAUCCAAAUAUUAGUUCGUUAACUGAAUGUGUUGAUUCGUCAUCCUUAGUGGCUGCAAUAUCGUAGGCUAAGGUUUUUGAAAUAGACCAAAGAAUUUCCGUCAGAACUGUCAGUGCUUUCAUAUGUGUUAUAAUUGUUUACCGAAGUAUCUGAUACCAUCUUAUUUGUUUGCUUUUGGUUUUUGAAUGUAGUGGAGAAAUAUGUUUUCUUGUGAGUCUUUCUCUUUGGUUAAGAUAUAAUAUUGAACUUUUUUAGAUGGCAGUUAGCCGGUUACUGAUAUAUUAAUAAUUGUGGUUUUUUUUUUAUGUUACAUUUGAUGGUUUUUUUUUAAUUUUAUGGUGCAAUAUAAUGAACUAUCAUGUCACCGAAUUUAUUUUUCUUGAAUUAAUUACGUUGAAUUAUUCACUAAUAAAUAAUAAAUUAUUUUUGAGUUGUUUUUUUUUAUGUCAAAUAUUGUUUGACUCACAUUUCUUGUAGCCUGCGAUUUUCGAAAAAAUAUUUCGGAUGAUUUAUGUAUUUUGUAUUUCUUUUCAUAGCUGAAUGCAGAUGUUAUAUUUUAAAUAUCAUUCAUUGUCUUCUUUAUAUUUUCUCCAUGCAAAUUUAUCAUAUUUAGGUCAGCCGACAGUUAUAUCGUACUUUGUUUUGAAGUGGCUUAGGUCAAAGAGUUUCCGUAAUAAACUUCAAUAUCUAUGGUCAAGUGUGAUGUAUUUUGAAUAAGAAUCAGUUUAUGAGUUUUUUUGAAAAAAAAAAUUGUUAUCCAACGAAACCGAAAUUUUAGUCUUUCAAAAGUUUCACUUUAUUGUUUUUGUAUGCGAGUCUGAUGAUAUGUGUAAGUUCUGUUUGUUGUGUUUUUAUUUUUAAACAUUUUGCAUUCCGUUUCACAUUACACAUUUUGUGAAACAGAGAGUAUAUUAUAUAAACACACAUGUCAUAGAUUCAUGUUUCACAAUACAUGUUGAUUCUUGCAAUCUGUGUUUCAGGCUGUUCUGUGGGAUUGACGAAGUCUACUAUAUUUUUCUUGGGAGGUUAAGCAAUCUCUGCACGUUGAACCGCCAGUACGGACUCACGGAGAAGAACACAAGCGAGGCCUUGUUUGUGAUCAAAGCUUAUUGAACACUACGUGAUCGUGGUCCCUACCCUGCAGAUCAAGUCAUUAGAUGUCUCGAAGGAAGCUUCGCCUUCGCCUUCGUCGUCUACGAUACUCAAACCUUCUCUGUUUUCUCAGCUUUGAGCUCUGAUGGAGGAGAGUCUUUACUGGAGAAUACUCGGCGACGGGUCUGUUGUCAUGUCUGAUGAUGGUCAGAUCAUAAAGCAAAUGAUGUGCCAAAUCAUUUGCUCCUUUCCCAACUGGUAAGUCAAAGACACAAGAAACAACAUUUGAGAGAGAAAGACAUGUGAUUUAUGAAGUGUUUAAUGUUGUGUGAUUUUUUUGCAGGGAGUAUGUACAUAGUGAGAUCGGGCUUAAGAGUUUUGAACAUCCCGAGGACAACAUGAAGGCAAUGCCGAUGAUUGACAGCGAAGGUGUGAUAUGUGGAGCUAACUUCCAAGUGGAUGCUUGUACUAAGAUCAAUGCCAUCCCUAGGAGAGGAACUGAAGCUAACUGGGCUCUCGCUAAUACCCGUUGAUUUCUUCUUCUAAUUGGUUCAAUCCUCUGAAUCGUUCUUUUGUCCUGAUACAUUUUAUUUUUACAUACUUCUUUGUGUAAAUAGACAUCAAUAAAGAUACAAAAGCACUUUAUAUUGUAAAACAAUGAACUCUUUACUCACUGAAAUUGUCAAUUCCAUGAAAACAGAAGAACACAUUUUCAUCCAUAAGAGAGAGAGAAGAAAACAGAACAAGGAACAGUAGAGACAAAAAUAACAAAGACUUGAUCGUGCUUAUAUUUAAGCACAAAAAUAUUCGUAUUGUUAUGGCAUACUGAGACCAAUAUUCUGGAUCAAAUAUUUAUAUAUAAAUCAUAUAGUAAUAAGGGAGAACAAAAAUAUUAAGUAUGUGAAAGCUUAAAAGUUGUCAAAUGUUCUUCACAUAAAGUACUUGUCAUUAGGUCUUCGAAGAAGCAGUGGAAAUUCGCUGGUCAAUGUUUUUACAUGCAAUCCUCUUUGUUUCACUUGGAUCUUUCGAUCACGCUAAAUAAAUUUUUCCACUGACAUAAGAGGAAAGGGAGGGAAAUUUAAAUACCCACGCUGAAGUCACUUUUGUAAUGGAUUUAUUUAUAUACUAAUGUUUUGAUUUUGUAAUAUAUGACUCUACAAUGCAAACUUAGUCAAAAAUUUGUUUAAUAAUAAAUACAUGAAUAACCCAUAGCACAAACCCAAUAUUUAUAAACUUUAUAGGGAAUUAAACACACAAUUUGAGGUGACUUUUUAAUAGUUCUUUAUUUACCUUGUUAACAUGACGUAAACAAAUGUUUUAAGUUGGUUAACAUAUUCUUUUACAUUAGAACUCUGAAAAAAAUAAAGGACGAUGGUUCAUACACUGGUUAAGUUAGCUUGUUCAAACUCUACAUAACUAAAUCUACAAUAAUCUAUAAUAAAUAAUUAAUGCUAGGCACAUGAGAAAUAGGAAUUAGGACAACCACGACCCAUAGGUUUUCAUUAAGAAAUAUUUGGAAAAUGACAUAGCAAAGACUUUAAAAAAAAAAAAGCAGAAACUAAAGUAAAAAAAAAGCAAAUCCAGAUAUGAAAAAACAGAGAAUGACAUAGGCUAAUCGUGGUUGUUUGGGUUCCAAGCUAGCACUCAUUCCACACGUGCUUUCUUACGUGCAGUUGCUUCCCCAGCGUCUUCACCCGAUGCUACUGCUUCAUGUGCUAGACGUGCACCACCAGCUUCGGUGAGCUGAUCUGCAACACUGUUUAUGAUACCAGCUCUGACAUCUAAUCCUGUUGCCACAGAUUGGGGGAGAGAUUGAUCGGUAUCCUCGCCACCCUCCUGCUAGCAACACCCGAUAGUUUUAUAUGAGAUCAAUAUAUGAGCGUCACUUACAAAUAAAGAGAACUCAGGUACACUCACAGAAAAAGUUGGCUUUGGCGCAAGAUCACGUGCGGGGAAAAUGCGAGAUAUGGUAAAGCUUCGGUGAUUUGGACCAAAAUUGAAGUCCUUUAACCUGAGCUGGAAAGUGUAGGUACUCCCCACCAGAUUAGCGAGCGAGCGAGGUAGGUCGAUGUCAACUUGGGCAUUAGUACCUAUCCCCUGCAAUGUGUAGGAAAAAUAUAAGUAAACUAAGUAUACAAUAAAACAUUUCACGCUCAAAACGUAGAGGUCGAUUAGCGGGCAUACCACGAUCUGUGCAGCAUCAGAAGCAAGAACAUGAGUCAGGCUAGCAACCUCUUCAUCAAAACCAAGGAAAGCUGCUGAACCAGUGUCAUCUGACACGGAGAGAAUCACACGAUACCUGUCGGAUUGGAAUGAAAUUUAGUACUUUUUUACAGACACCAAGACGCACCAAGCAAAAAUAAUUUACUUCAGUUUAGCCACAGCAUUGGUUUCAUUGCAUGGGACGCAUGUGAAUGAAGUCUCCUCUCGGAUGAGUUUCUUGGAGCAAGUGGAGCAUCCAAUGUAACACCAACCCUCAUCAAGCUGAAUCUCAGUCACCUUGGCUGUACAGAGGAACUCAAUUAUCUGUCAAAUCAAGAGAAAAUCACAAUCUUAAGCGCAGUCUAGGAAGGAGUAAAAUAAAGAACAUGUGAACAAAAAAACCUGAGGAUCGGCGGUGAAAAUAAAUUGGUUAAGCUCUGAAACCGUCAUGGGUUCAAUCUUCUGUGCGUGAACCACCUUUGAUGAAGACCCUGACUGGUCUGUAUCACCAGUUGGCAAUCUGCGAAGAUAAUAACAUGUAAACGAUUAUGACAAAUCAAUAGCAAAAAAAGUCAAAUUUGCGUUAUCAAAUAAGGAAAAGGAUGCUUGCCUGGCAAAUGCAUCCGCUCCAACAGCAGUUUCGGAGUAAAAAAAAUACGUGUCGCAGAAGUACCAUUCAAAUAUAACUUUCCUGCAAAAACACAUGGGACCUUAUAUAAGUUUAUUACAACAAAACCAAAAAAAAAAAAAAAACCUCUGCAUGACAGCACGAAAACUCACCAGAAACCAACUUAGGAUUCACGGCUGUUACAACAACGAUCCUUGGCUCUCUUCCGUACCCAUCGAGCUUGUUAUGGAAUGAAAGGGCCAAGGAGCCAAAGAUACUAACACAUACAGUAGUAUCGGUUCAUAUAAACGAUGUUAGAAAAAAGUGAGUCAGUGAUACGUUAGAGUUUUAAAGUAUAACAAAUGGAAUUCAAAAUUUUGAAAAUACCUUCCAAGACGCAAGUUUAGCAUUACGCGCUGAGCCCCAUGGAUUCGGUCCGCUAUGGUGCUCCUAAUGGCACUGAGCUCUCCCAUUAUGUCUGACAUAGUAUGGAUUGGGAAAAUGUUAGAGCAAGACAUAAGUAAACAACGGCCAUAAUAAAAUAACAAAAUUACUACAUACCGGGGAGUUGUCUCCCAGUGUUUGCUAGUCCAAGUAUCUGGUCGUACGGUCGGAAACGGAAGUGCUCCGAGGGUAUCCUCCGAGAUGUCGUUGCUAGCUUUUCAAAUUCGGUGCCAUCAUUGAAACGAAUGGCAACAGGCGCAUCGGAUAGCCGGUAUUUCGGGCUGCUACGCGUCACAUCGAAGCCGCUUAGUGUGUAUACAGAUCCCUCGGUCAUACGCUGUCUGAACCUAAGCUGGAGAAGGGCAGAGACAGUUCCGUGCACGACAGUAGACUGAUGGAGAAAUGAAGAUAAAACAUCAGAAUCUAUAGAAAAUUAAUUUUAAAAAAACUAUUAAGAGGUUUUAGAAGAUAAAAAAUGGAUCUCACGUUCUCAUCGAUGAGCAACAUGUCAAGACUCAUAAGCUCUCCGCCUUUGUUGAUAUUCCUAGCCUCCCAAAGCCUCAGCAGACGGACCUCGGCAGUAUUGGAGCAUCGGCCGGCUCUCAAGUCGUUAAGAAGAGUGAACGCCAUCGGAAUCGAAAUCGGUUGCUAGAAAAGAGUUUACUGCUAAAUUUCGUCGGAUCUGAGGUGUGCAUUGCAAGAUGGUGAGAUGUCGUAUUUAUAGGUGAGGAUUAAGCCAGGUACGAUGGAAUACGAAGAGGGGAAUUGAUUGAACAAUUGAAGUGGAAGGAGUGGAUUAAAAGAGGUGAGGUGGAGUUAAGCUGCAGAGUUAUUGAAAGAGGAUGCGUUAUGGAUACUGAACAGACUGAAUCUCUGGGCCUCGCGUUGGAGAAUGAGAAGGGAGAAGACGAAGACGAAGAUCGUGUUUUAAGAUGGGCCACAUUCACAAGAGCCCAAACCAAAUAAUAGAAAAAAAAAAUAAAAAAAAAGAAGUAACCAAUUGAGCGUCGACACGUGGCGACAUAUGCCCACAUCAAAAAAAAGAACGUGGAAGCUUGUAGUGGGAGAAAACUCCACUUUAUUAUUAUAGAUAGUUUUGGUUUACACGAUGGUCUUCACUUUUGUGUUUUCAUUACAUUUUCCUGGGUUCAGUACUUCUGUUUUGGAGAGG
rnacentral:lncRNA from 1 species